UGUUGCAGGACUGCCUGAUCUCAUCCACUUCUUCAUCCUUGCUCUCAAUUUCUCUAGAGUGGGUCUGCCGCUGCCGCUCCAUCUCCAUCUCAAGCCGCAGUUUCGCCUUGAUGAAUGAUAGCCGUACCUGCUCCAGCAUUUGGAUGGUGCCGGCUUGUUCGUCCAGCUCCUCCUCUUGGUCUUUCACCUUAGCCUCAAGAUCAUGAAGCUGCUUCUUUAACUUGGCUAGCGACGCCUCAUCCUUGGACUCCUGGGAGGUCAGAUCAUGUAACUCUGCCUCCAGCUGCUGGACCUUCGUACUUGUGGUGCACAAUUCAUCGUCCUUGUCCUGAAGACAAAGGAAAGGCUGCUUGUCGUGCCAGGUAGCCUCGACAGAUUGAUUGGAACAGGAUCAGAUUACGCUUGGUGUGUUCAUCUCUCUGUUGCUCCAGCUUGGCCAUGGUGCCAGCUUUGAAGAACAACUGGGGCGAAAUGUACACAGUGAGGGAAAAGAGAGAGAGAGAGAGAGAGAGGGCGGGGUGGGGUCAAAUGACGUCAUUUGUCAAGGAUGUAAUCGUUAAAAGAUGCUCAGUUGAGCUCCAGGAUAAGUGGCUAUUGUGGCUGUACAUUAAUGUAGGUACGUAGAAAACAAGCUGCUAAUUCAAGUAGUCUAAUGAAGCCGAGAAUCGACCAAAUGAGAAAGCUGUGAUUACGUUCUUAACACUGUUAUUACAAGCAAAGAGAAGGAGUGCAUUGAAACAUCACAGCUUCUCGAGUUGUUACUAUGACUGGAGCUUCAGCAGGCGGGGCAAGAUGUGACGUAGAAAAAGAUGACCAAUCGUAAGGUGAAAGGAAAGUCAGUCAGCAGGUGGCAGUGUACAGACAGAAACAAUGGCUGUAAAUCCAAACUAAUAUUACAAAUGGGGUGGCUCAUGUGUUCAUGGUGUGGCGCCCUAACUCACCCUGCUCACUCCCAUGUGGUAGUUGCUCUUCUCCAAGUCCAACGACUCCAGCAGCUCCUCCACCACCUUGGUAAACCCACACAUACAAACACUCUUUUUGUCAUGUUUUUUUUUUUUUCUUGAACUUGAUACAAGACGAAUUAGAUGAAUUUAAAGAACAUUUAGGUUUUUUUAAAGCGGCUUUUUUGACAGAGUGGUUUCAUGGUACAGCCAAAACUCUUUGGCCAAGCUGAUAAAAUACCCUCUACUACACAUUUUUUGGUUCCUUAUGUUUUCUUCUAAUGCCCAUGUUCAUGAAACAGUUGAAUGUCUACUAUAUUAUCUCCAUCUUGGAAGGAUGUACAAUGAACAAGGUUAAGUCUGAUGACAAAGGGACUGACAAAUCAGUGUCAGUUUUAAUGGAACCAUGUUCUCAUAACAUAACUCUUAACUCUCUCCAACAAAUAGCAAGGUUUUUUACUUACUCUCCUCUCAUCUUUCACUAUGUAAUUCCGUCCAAGCUUCUUGGUGAGGUGUGGUGCCAGCACAUCGAAACGUCGUCGGAAUUCGGAAAACACCAUGUGGACAGGGAAACCUGCGGACGUCGGCACCAUGAAACGCGGUGUGUCAUGUAUACAAUCUGGAGAGAAUCCAGGAGCUUGGAGCCUCGAAGCUGAGCACGGAGCAGCGCUGCAUCCAGCUGGAUUGAGCCUGGAUCUCCAUUUUUUCCGUGAGCCUCGGAUCCAGUUAGAUUCUUCAGGGCGUCAGCCUUGGGCAAUAUGCAGUGGAUGAAGUGGAUCCUGGACCUCUGGACCAUGUUAAGAAGAGCAUCCUGGAAAGCAAUGACACUCCUCAACAAAGGUGCGUUGGUAGAAAAGAUCUUGCAGCCGUUCCUGAGUGUAGUUGUGACAGAGGUCAUCGAAGGUCGCACCGCACUCACGCCUCAUCAGCCUUGGGUUUUGAAAGCCUGGCGUGUCCACAAUGAGCAGGGAGCACAGUGAGUUGUGGCUGGAUUUCAAGCUCCUGUAGGACAUGAAACCACAUGAACAAAAAUAGCAAUUUUCUUCAGACGUCUGACGGCAGGUACCACUUCUGGCUUGGUUCUUAAAGACGGAGGAGGAGAGCUCUUCCAGGGUGCAGCCUAGCAGCCUACCUUCUCGGAGUACAUGGAAGGAGAACUAAUGGGGUUUAUGACCACCAUGUUGGGCCCAGCAUGUGUGUGUACCAGGUCGCUACUGUAGCGCUUCUGCAGGGAGUGCAUCACGCUUGACUCAUUCAGGUUCCAUCACUAUCAAGGCGGAUUUUUGCCUUCCCCUCUGGCAGAGUGCUCACAUCGGACUUCAGGAGAGUUGCUGUGUUUCAACAGAAAAGUCAUAUUUACCUAACAACACAGAAUGGCUCCAAGGGACACGCAGACUUCAGCUAAGAUGCUUUGGAUCCAAACCAGGCCACGAUACACUCUGGCAAACAUACACCUACCUACCACCAAAAAGGCAAACAAAGGAAGCCAGGCAAAGAGAGGCACAGAAGAAGUUUCCUCCAGUCUCUCAACAGAGUGUCGGAUCAUCGAAGCACCUGUGACUCCUGCAGCACAAACCUCAGUCGUGAUGGUAGCCGUGUAAACGCUGCGGUCAUACUCCCAUCCGUCCAGACAGCUUUCUCUGGACACAUCGGACAGAUUGACAUCAAUUCCGGGCAUCAGACCCCUCUCUGAAAAUCUCAGCAACUCGUCAAUUUUGUAUCUGAAGCAUUGGCUGGGCACCAUGGUGCCGCUGCUCCCAUCCUCCUCUAACGGGAUGCUGCUGUUCCUCCAGGCGGCGGUGAGGUUGAUGUGUGCGGGGAUGAGGCAGCGGUGCGCCGGUGUGUCGGCGACAAACACGAUAGUGAUGGAGAUAAAGCCAUUUGGGACGAUGAAGACACACAGGAGAAAAAAUACCUGUUGCUGGAAAGUUCCCCACUCAUCGAGGAAGGAGGUCGCACUUUCAUAAUCGAUCAUUCUGCCUGUGGAUCUGUGUGCUACAGUGAACCCAAGACACCCACUAUUUAUUAUUAUAUAUUGUUAUUGCAAAAUAACCACACCCCAAAACUAACACCUUCCUCCUAUGCAUAUUCAAAACCAAAACGAGUUUUCUAAAACAUUGGCAUCCAGGACAGCACCUCUCCCUGCCCUGGAGGAGGUUCACUUUUUUUUUAAUCCUACCUUUUUUCUUAUCACCACAGAGACAAUUUGACCUCUGAUGACAUGUUUUCCAAUCUAACAAGAAAUGUGUCCUCGGGUGUUAUGUAAAAUUAGAAACAUUUUAAAAUCAAGUAUUGAUUUAAGCAGUAACUUGGAACAUUAACCCACAGGACAUACUGUAUAUAGUGAUUUUUUUUUAUUAUUUGCCAAUAAUAAAGAUACCGUUAAUAUUUGCAUUACCACUACCUACCCAGUAUGUCAUCGUUUGUGAACUUAAACCUAAAGUUUUAAAUAGUUUAAACUUUGCUAAAAUUCAGUUGAAAUUAAUCCAUUGAUGAGGAAUGAAUUUAGCAACGAUCGUUAGGAAGGACCUUGAACCUGAGCAAGUGUCAAACAGCCCUAUCUGGUGUUGAAACUCAAGAAGCAAGAAUUGCUCCUCUUCCUUUCCCUUCAUCUUGUCUCUUUUUUCAGGGGUUGCCACGGCGAUUCAUUGAUUUCCAUCUCUCCAUCUUCUGCUCUGGCUCCAGCUAUCUGCAUGUCCUCCCUCACUGCAUCCAUAUAUCUCCUCUUUGGCCGUCGUCUUUGUCUCCUACCAGGUACGAGCAGCAGCAUAAAAUGGAGGCUCCCGGACAACUUUUAGGAUACGGUUAUAGUUAGCAUGAUGCCUGAAGAAGAAGCAAUGGAGGCUAGCCAAAACAAGACUGGAUACAAACAAUUGAGGAAAUCUACAACAUGGAAAGGUUAACAUUUUCUUUGAGAUAUAGCACUGGAAAAGGUGAUCCAUACUGGAAGAGAUGGAGGACCUACAUAAAUGGGAGGUUACCUUGCCAUUGGAAGUUUUUUAAAAAAGUCAUAUUUACCAAACAACAUGGAACGGCUCCAAGGGACUCGCAGACUUCAGGUAAUACCAACCUCCUAUAUGACACACCCCCUCAGUUCCCAUUAACACUUUUAAUUCAUCAUUAAAUCAGGGGCGUGGUAAUCUCCUUUAUUUAACCGUAACACUUCCCUUUUCAGGUAUUCAGCCACUGAAAUACCAAGUCAUUGAGAUCUGAAGAGGCCGCUUGGUUGGAGUCGAAACAUCUUCAAUAACCUAAGAUUGUCCAGUCGUCUUCAGCUAAGAUGCUUUGGAUCCCCCAAAACAGUUCUAACCCUUCGUUGGAUCAAAACCAGGCCACGGUAGGAUUUAUUUAAAUGACAGAAUGAAGCAGAAUAGGCCACGCGAUCUACCCAUGUUUACUGUUCUUUCCAUUGUUUUGAUAAAGUUGUGCUUGACAAAUGCUAUUUAAGAAGAGAUGUGCUGAAAGACUGGAUCUCUCUUGUUUUCUUCAUUCAAGACUUGAAGGUUCCUUUCAUCUGGAUUUUCAUCGUCUGUUUUUGUGACUGUGUACGGAGUCUUCUGACAACAUCUAGAUUAAGAAAGAAACUUGAGUGUCGGAUCAUCGAAGCACCUGUGACUCCUGCAGCACAAACCUCAGUCGUGAUGGUAGCCGUGUAAACGCUGCGGUCAUACUCCCAUCCGUCCAGACAGCUUUCUCUGGACACAUCGGAC